rnacentral:rRNA from 1 species
AGUGAACGCUGGCGGCAGGCCUAACACAUGCAAGUCGAGCGGCAGCGCGUCCGACCACCCUCGGGUGGUCGGAUGGCGGCGAGCGGCGGACGGGUGAGGAAUGCAUCGGAAUCUGCCUCGUUGUGGGGGAUAACGUAGGGAAACUUACGCUAAUACCGCAUACGACCUACGGGUGAAAGUGGGGGACCUUCGGGCCUCACGCGAUGAGAUGAGCCGAUGCCGGAUUAGCUAGUUGGCGGGGUAAAGGCCCACCAAGGCGACGAUCCGUAGCUGGUCUGAGAGGAUGAUCAGCCACACUGGAACUGAGACACGGUCCAGACUCCUACGGGAGGCAGCAGUGGGGAAUAUUGGACAAUGGGGGCAACCCUGAUCCAGCCAUGCCGCGUGUGUGAAGAAGGCCUUCGGUUGUAAGACACUUU